rnacentral:rRNA from 1 species
UACAGAGGGUGCAAGCGUUUGUCCGGAUUUAUUGGGCGUAAAGAGCUCGUAGGCGGUUCGGCAAGUCAGCUGUGAAAUCUCCACGCUCAACGUGGAGGGGUCAGCUGAUACUGCUGUGACUUGAGUCCGGUAGGGGAGUGUGGAAUUCCCGGUGUAGCGGUGAAAUGCGCAGAUAUCGGGAGGAACACCAGUAGCGAAGGCGGCACUCUGGGCCGGUACUGACGCUGAGGAGCGAAAGCGUGGGGAGCAAACAGG